UGCGUAGGCGGUGCUCUAAGUCGGAUGUGAAAACUCUGGGCUCAACCCAGAGCCUGCAUCCGAAACUGGAGUGCUAGUGUUCUGGAGGGGGUAGCGGAAUUCCUGGUGUAGCGGUGAAAUGCGUAGAUAUCAGGAGGAACACCGGUGGCGAAGGCGGCUACCUGGACAGAAACUGACGCUGAGGCACGAAAGCUAGGGGAGCAAACA
rnacentral:rRNA from 1 species